CGCCUCUUGCCACCUAUAAGAGGUCUAGCCUGCCCAGUGACUCUGUUCAACGGCCGCGGUAUCCUAACCGUGCGAAGGUAGCGUAAUCACUUGUCCUUUAAAUGAGGACUAGUAUGAAUGGCCCAACGAGGGCUAUACUGUCUCCUUUUUCUAAUCAAUGAAACUAAUCUUCUCGUGAAGAAGCGAGAAUAAUUUUAUAAGACGAGAAGACCCUAUGGAGCUUUAAAUAAUUGAAAAAUUUGCAUACCUUAUUUUUACCUUCCGAGCUACCACUUUCUGAGCAUUUUUAUUUCUAAUUUUAGGUUGGGGUGACCACGGAGCAAAAUUUAACCUCCACGAUGAAGGAGACUCCCCUCUCUUAGCUAAAAGCUACUCCUUUAAGCAUCAAUAAACUGACUUCCUUUGACCCAAUAAAUUGAUCAACGAACCAAGUUACCCUAGGGAUAACAGCGCAAUCUACUUCAAGAGCUCAUAUCGACAAGUAGGUUUACGACCUCGAUGUUGGAUCAGGGUAUCCCAGUGGUGCAGCCGCUACUAAUGGUUCGUUUGUUCAACGAUUAAAACCCU
rnacentral:rRNA from 1 species